rnacentral:rRNA from 1 species
GGCGAGGAAUAUUAGGACAAUGGGCGCAAGCCUGAUCCAGCCAUGCCGCGUGUGUGAAGAAGGCCUUAUGGUUGUAAAGCACUUUAAGCGAGGAGGAGGCUACUUUAGUUAAUACCUAGAGAUAGUGGACGUUACUCGCAGAAUAAGCACCGGCUAACUCUGUGCCAGCAGCCGCGGUAAAUGAA